UUUCCGUAGGUGAACCUGCGGAAGGAUCAUUAUUGUGUAACCGAGGUGCGAGGGCUGUCGCUGACCCGAAAGGUCGUGCACGCCCGAGUGCCCUCACACGCAUCCAUCUCACCCCUAUGUGCACCACCGCGUGGGUCCCCCUUUGGCUUGUUCGGAGGGGGGCUUACGUUUUCACACAAACUUUGUAUGCAGUGUAGAAUGUAUUUUUUGUUUUUGCGAUCACGCAAUCAAUACAACUUUCAACAACGGAUCUCUUGGCUCUC
rnacentral:misc_RNA from 1 species